GCAAUUCUUACAUGAUUAAGGACAACUAACAACUAACUAACUAUAGAAAGUUACAUGUGAAUAUCAUCAUCAAUAAAUAAAUAUAACAUGUGCUCUAUGUACUAUGGGUACCAUAAUAUCUCCAAGUGUAUCAACUACUGCUCCUUCAUUUUCCAGGACGUGACAUCGCUUCACACACGCAAUUGUGGCAGAGAAAAUAUAUCCAGCUCAUUUGUAGACAUUUUGUGGAUUCUAUUUCCACUGUUUCUGAAUUGCCCAACACACACUUUCGUGGGUAGCUGUGUGCCCUGGCUAGGACCCUCAGCUCUCUUGGCACUUUACGAGGACCAGCUCUCUCUCUCUCUCUCUCUCUCUCUCUCUGUCUCCAGACCUUCAUUUUUUACCCCGUAGCCUUGGCCACUCUCCACGAGCUGAGAGUCAAUGAAACUUCUUUGUUGUUCCUCUCACGCAGCGACGGCAAUGCUCCGCGUGUUUUGAGAAUGAAAUCAAAGUGGGAUAUUU
rnacentral:lncRNA from 1 species